UACGGGGGGGGCAAGCGUUGUUCGGAAUUACUGGGCGUAAAGGGCUCGUAGGCGGCCAACUAAGUCGGAUGUGAAAUCCCCAGGCUUAACCUGGGAACUGCAUCCGAUACUGGAUGGCUUGAAUCCGGGAGAGGGAUGCAGAAUUCCAGGUGUAGCGGUGAAAUGCGUAGAUAUCUGGAGGAACACCGGUGGCGAAGGCGGCAUCCUGGACCGAUACUGACGCUGAGGAGCGAAAGCCAGGGGAGCAAACGGG
rnacentral:rRNA from 1 species